GUGCCAGACUCCUACGGGAGGCAGCAGUGAGGAAUAUUGGUCAAUGGACGGAAGUCUGAACCAGCCAUGCCGCGUGCAGGAAGACGGCUCUAUGAGUUGUAAACUGCUUUUGUACAAGGGUAAACCUGAAUACGUGUAUUCAGCUGAAAGUACUGUACGAAUAAGGAUCGGCUAACUCCGUGCCAGCAGCCGCGGUAAUACGGAGGAUCCAAGCGUUAUCCGGAUUUAUUGGGUUUAAAGGGUGCGUAGGCGGUUUGAUAAGUUAGAGGUGAAAUACCGGGGCUCAACCCCGGGGCUGCCGUUGAAACCGGAGCGCUAGAAUUCCGAUGCCGUCGGAGGAAUGUGUGGUGUAGCGGUGAAAUGCAUAGAUAUCACACAGAACACCGAUUGCGAAGGCAUCUGACGAAUCGGAGAUUGACGCUGAUGCACGAAAGCGUGGGUAUCGAACAGGAUUAGAUACCCUAGUAC
rnacentral:rRNA from 1 species